rnacentral:rRNA from 1 species
UGAGGAACAUGACCUUCGGCGGGGGAGUAGCCGGCCCAACGGCCGGGUAAUACCGCGUACGACCACAUGGGGACAUCCCUGAGUGGUGGAAGCAGCAAUGCGCCGGUGGAGUGCCUCGCGGCCUAUCAGCUAGUUGGUGAGGUAACGGCUCACCAAGGCGACGACGGGUANCUGGUCUGAGAGGAUGGCCAGCCACAUUGGGACUGAGACACGGCCCAGACUCCGUAGGGAGG